CAGCCGCCGCGGUAAUACCGGCGGCCCGAGUGGCGGCCACUAUUAUUGGGCCUAAAGCGUCCGUAGCCGGGCUGGUAAGUCCUCCGGGAAAUCUGGUCGCUUAACGAUCAGACUUCCGGAGGAUACUGCUGGCCUAGGGACCGGGAGAGGCCGAGGGUAUUCCCGGGGUAGGGGGGAAAUCCUGUAAUCCCGGGAGGACCACCUGUGGCGAAGGCGCUCGGCUGGAACGGGUCCGACGGUGAGGGACGAAGGCCAGGGGAGCGAACCGGAUUAGAUACCCGGGUAGUCCUGGCUGUAAACGAUGCGGACUAGGUGUCGGGCAAGCUAAGGGCUUGUCCGGUGCCGCAGGGAAGCCGUUAAGUCCGCCGCCUGGGGAGUACGGCCGCAAGGCUGAAACUUAAAGGAAUUGGCGGG
rnacentral:rRNA from 1 species